UCUGUCUCAAAAAUAAAUAAAACAUUAAAACAACUUUUAAAAAAAAGAAAGAAAAAUUGUUCUGGAUGCUGAAUGUCCAGCUGUACUUAGAGCAGACCGACUAGGGAAUAAUAACCUGUGAUUUAAAGAUCAGAGUGUGACUGUGACAAAAUUAUGAUAUAAAGUAAGAUUGCUCUAGGUUUUCCAAGGCACACUAUACCUGACUCAUUAAUACAUGGUUAUACCACAGAUGACAUAGACACCGACAUGGUAAUGAACAGAAAACACCCACCUUUGCAAGAAAUAGUGAAGGAAGAAUAGCUGCUAACUGAACUUAGUUCCAAGGGGUAAAUUCUAGGCCCCAGCUGUGGCAGUUUCUCAUGUUUGAUCUUCUGGCUUCUUUCUCCUGUGUGUUUCACUUACUCUCCUUUCAAGGUUUUAAAAUUAAAUUAAAUUAAAUUAUUUAAUUAUUA